rnacentral:rRNA from 1 species
AUUGAACGCUGGCGGCAGGCCUAACACAUGCAAGUCGAGCGGAUGAAGGGAGCUUGCUCUUGGAUUCAGCGGCGGACGGGUGAGUAAUGCCUAGGAAUCUGCCUGGCAGUGGGGGAUAACGUCCGGAAACGGGCGCUAAUACCGCAUACGUCCUGAGGGAGAAAGUGGGGGAUCUUUGGACCUCACGCUAUCAGAUGAGCCUAGGUCGGAUUAGCUAGUUGGUGGGGUAAAGGCCUACCAAGGCGACGAUCCGUAACUGGUCUGAGAGGAUGAUCAGUCACACUGGAACUGAGACACGGUCCAGACUCCUACGGGAGGCAGCAGUGGGGAAUAUUGGACAAUGGGCGAAAGCCUGAUCCAGCCAUGCCGCGUGUGUGAAGAAGGUCUUCGGAUUGUAAAGCACUUUAAGUUGGGAGGAAGGGCAGUAAGUUAAUACCUUGCUGUUUUGACGUUACCAACAGAAUAAGCACCGGCUAACUUCGUG